rfam:TPA: Bos taurus chromosome 8, whole genome shotgun sequence.
UCCCCGGCGGUCCAGUGGUUAAGACUCUGCUUUUCCAAUGCAGGGAGUUCUGGUUCAAUUCUUGGUCUGGGAA